GAGAGAUUUACGGAACUUUGGACUUUACUUACUGCUUUAGAAUAAAGACGGACAAGCUAUGGGUCCGGAAAAAAUCUUACCGUUGCUACUAAUACUAACAGCUAGAGCUGCUCCAAACAUGUCAUUAUCUUAUUCAACCACAACAGCUGAAACAAGCAGUACAGCUGCUCAAUUCACAACCAACGCUGAUCAGACGACAGCAGCUACAAAUACUCCAACCACAACUACUGCUACACACACAACUACUACAGCUUCACCCAC